rnacentral:lncRNA from 1 species
CAGAGCUGUGAACAAAAGAGGCACUGAGGUAUAAUUAUGUGAGACAAUGUAAAUACGAUUACUGUACUAUGGAUUUGACAAUCAAGAGGGUGGUGGUAAAGAAAUGUAUUGGUGGGAAAAACAAGGAUAUGAACGUGGAUUGUAAAGACCAAAACUAGUCCAUGUCAUGGUAACUUUCUGACAGCGCGAUCGUGUCUUGAAGGUGCCAUAAACGGUGUCAGGCAGCCUGAGCUUGAUCAUCUGCUGGGGUGGUCCUUCUCCAGGCUCAUCCCAGGGUGGGCUAACGUCACACUGCAGGCCCAGUGGGCUUGUCAGUGUCACUUUGUUGCUUCUAUUUUGGUAACAGAGUGAAGAGGCGUAAGUGGCUGAGUGUUUGGGUGGGAGUUAGAAAAAAGAAAGAACCUGUUGCGAGCAAAGAUUACCAUGGUGAUGAUUGGAGGCACCAUUGUGUUCUGUCUUAUCUCAGACUGUCGCGGGUUGUGUUUCCACUCUCUAACUGGAAAAGUGACGGGCAUUCCUCUGCAAUGGUUGGCUGUGGCUCUCCUGGAGGACUCUGCCCUCUCUCUGGUGGUUCUCCAUGGAGUGGCACACGGCUGCCUGCAACUUAGAUUAAGUGUUUGAGCUGUAUUUAAGUGGUUCUGUUUCUGAACUCUGUGUCGGAGUGUAGCUUCUGUUUAGUUCUACUCUAGCUUAUCUUGGUUAUUUUGUAUUCUGGGUUUGAGUUCUGUUAUGUUAUGUUAUGGGUUUUUCCCACCUUUUUUGUUACUAAAUACUUGUAGUUCUCACGCUGGCUUAUCUUCUGGUCCUGGAUCUGAGUCAUCCCGAUACCCCCAUGACAAAAACUGCUUCAAAAAUACAAUCAAUGGACCAUGUUGCUUAAUUCCAGGUACCUAAACUUAGAAAUAAAACACAAAAUUGCCAGUGACUGGGUUAUUCUACAAUGAAUACUUUAAUGUAU